ACGCACGCUGGCGGCGUGCUUAACCCCUGCCAGUCGUACGGUAAGGCCCUUUCGGGGGUACCCGAGUGGCGAACGGGUGAGUAACACGUGAGUAACCUGCCCACAACUUUGGGAUAACGCUAGGAAACUGGUGCUAAUACUGGAUAUGUGCUCCUGCUGCAUGGUGGGGGUUGGAAAGCUCCGGCGGUUGUGGAUGGACUCGCGGCCUAUCAGCUUGUUGGUGGGGUAGUGGCCUACCAAGGCGGCGACGGGUAGCCGGCCUGAGAGGGUGACCGGCCACAUUGGGACUGAGAUACGGCCCAGACUCCUACGGGAGGCAGCAGUGGGGAAUAUUGCACAAUGGGCGCAAGCCUGAUGCAGCAACGCCGCGUGCGGGAUGACGGCCUUCGGGUUGUAAACCGCUUUCAGCAGGGACGAAGCUUUUUGUGACGGUACCUGCAGAAGAAGCACCGGCUAACUACGUG
rnacentral:rRNA from 1 species